ensembl:lncRNA
CCAGUACCUCCAACUCCCAGUAAGGCAGCACCCCAACACCCCAUUAUCCCAGCACCCCAGUCCUCCAGUACUCCAGUACCCCACAAUCCCAGUACACCAGUCCUCCAGUCCCCCAACACCCCACUAUCCCAGCACCCCAGUCCUCCAGUACCCCAGAAUCCCAGUACACCAGUCCUCCAGUCCCCCAGUACCCCACAAUCCCAGUACACCAGUCCUCCAGUCCCCCAGUCCCCCACAAUCCCAGCACCCCAGUCCUCCAGUCCCCCACAAUCCCAGUAUACCAGUCCUCCAGUCCCCCAGUACCCCACAAUCCCAGAACACCAGGCCUCCAGAACCCCAAUAUUACUUUGUUCCCCCAGUAUCCCAGCACCCCAAUCCUCCAGCAUCUCAGUACCCUGACACCCCAAUUCUCCAGCAUCCUGGUAAUGCAGUCCUCCAGCAUCUUGGUAUCCUGGCACCCCAAACCUCCAGCAUCCCAGCACCCCAGUUCCCCACCAUCCCAGUCCUCCAGCAUUUCAGUAUACUGGCACCCCAGUAACACAGCAUCCCAGCAACCCAGUAUUCCAGUAUUCUGGCACCCCAGUAUUCCAGCUUCUCAGUAUCCUGGCACCUCAGUCCUCCAGCAUCCCAACAAUCCAGUCCUCCAGCAUCCCAGCACCCCAGUAUUCUGGCACCCCAGUCCUCCAGCAUCUCAAUAUCCUGGCACCCCAAACCUCCAGCACCCCAGUCCUCCAGCAUCUCAGUAUCCUGGCACCUCAGUCCUCCAGCAUCUCAAUAUCCUGGCACCUCAGUCCUCCAGCAUCCCAACAAUCCAGUCCUCCAGCAUCCCAGCACCCCAGUAUUCCAGUAUUCUGGAACCCCAGUCCUCCAGCAUCCCAGCAGUCCAGUCCUCCAGCAUGCUGGUAUUCUGGAACCCCAGUCCUCCACCAUCUCGAUAUCCGAGCAACCCAGACCUCCAGCAUCUCAGUCCUCCAGCAACAGAUCCUCCGGGAUCCCAACACCCCAGUCCUCCAGCAUCCCAGCAACCCAGUCCUCCAGCACCCCAGUCCUCCAGCAUCUCAAUAUCCUGACACCUCAGUCCUCCAGCAUCUCAGUAACCCAGUCCUCCAGCAUCUUGGUAUUCUGGAACCCCAGUCCUCCAGCAUCUCAGUAUCCUGGCACCUCAGUCCUCCAGCUUCCCAGCAGCCCAGAAUUCCAGUAUUCUGGCACCCCAGUCCUCCAGCAUCUCAGUGUCCUGGCACCUCAGUCCUCCGGGAUCCCAGCAAUCCAGUCCUCCAGCAUCUUGGUAUUCUGGAACCCCAAACCUCCAGCAUCUCAAUAUCCUGGCACCUCAGUCCUGCAGCAUCGCAGCAUCCCAACAACCCAGUCCUCCAGCACCCCAGUAUUCUGGCACCCCAGUCCCCCAGCAUCUCAAUAUCCUGACACCUCAGUCCUCCAGCAUCCCAGCAACCCAGUCCUCCAGCAUCCCAAUAUCCCGGCACCCCAGUCCUCCACCAUCUCUGUAUCCCGGCACCCCAGCCCCCCCAGUCCUCCACCAUCUCGAUAUAUCCCGACACCCCAGUCCUCCAGCAUCCCGUUAUCCCAAUAUCCCAGUCCUCCAGCACCCCUCUACCCCCUCCCCCCCCCUCCUUCCCAUCUCCCCCUCACAUGGCGGCUCCGUUCCCCUCCGCUGCGCUUCAGCUCCUCCGCUCACACGCGCUUCUCCCCUCUCACUUCCGCUUCCGGGUCACUCUAACGCUCCAGGGUAACCACUUCCGGCUCAGAGCGCGGGAAGACAGGGAGGGCGACCUGCGCAUGCGCGGGAGUGAGAUGAGGGGCGUGGCCUAAGGGGGAAAAGGGGCGUGGCCUGGGGGAGGCCACGGAGGCAGACUGGGAGGGA